GACGAACGCUGGCGGCGUGCUUAACACAUGCAAGUCGAACGGAAAGGCCCUGCUUUUGUGGGGUGCUCGAGUGGCGAACGGGUGAGUAACACGUGAGUAACCUGCCCUUGACUUUGGGAUAACUUCAGGAAACUGGGGCUAAUACCGGAUAGGAGCUCCUGCUGCAUGGUGGGGGUUGGAAAGUUUCGGCGGUUGGGGAUGGACUCGCGGCUUAUCAGCUUGUUGGUGGGGUAGUGGCUUACCAAGGCUUUGACGGGUAGCCGGCCUGAGAGGGUGACCGGCCACAUUGGGACUGAGAUGCGGCCCAGACUCCUACGGGAGGCAGCAGUGGGGAAUAUUGCACAAUGGGCGGAAGCCUGAUGCAGCAACGCCGCGUGCGGGAUGACGGCCUGCGGGUUGUAAACCGCUUUCGCCUGUGACGAAGCGUGAGUGACGGUAAUGGGUAAAGAAGCACAGGCUAACUACGUG
rnacentral:rRNA from 1 species